rnacentral:rRNA from 1 species
UCUACCUAGUAGUAUGGAAUAGCCAUUAGAAAUGAUGGGUAAUACUGUAUAAUCCCUGCGGGGGAAAGAUUUAUCGCUAUUAGAUGAGCCUACGUUAGAUUAGCUAGUUGGUAAGGUAAUGGCUUACCAAGGCUAUGAUCUAUAGCUGGUCUGAGAGGACGAUCAGCCACACUGGAACUGAGAUACGGUCCAGACUCCUACGGGAGGCAGCAGUGGGGAAUAUUGGACAAUGGGCGAAAGCCUGAUCCAGCUAUGCCGCGUGAGUGAAGAAGGCCUUCGGGUUGUAAAGCUCUUUCAAUAGGGAAGAUA